rnacentral:lncRNA from 1 species
AGCCUGGGUUCACGCUCGCGCCUCUCCCUCCACACCUCCCUGCAAGCUGAGGGAGCCAGCUCCGGCCUAGGCCAGCCCAGGAAGGGGCUCUCACAGUGCAGCGGCGGGCUGAAAGGCUCCUCAAGUGCCGCCAAAGUGGGAGCCCAGGCAGAGGAGGCGCCGAGAGCGACUGAGGGCUGCCAGCAUGCUGUCACCUCUCACUAGUUUAGGAAAAUUCUGUUGACCUAUAAUGAAGUUUACAGAUUUUUCCUCAUAUCUGUCCAGUCUACGGAUUAGAUCUUCAAAGAGAUGAAAUCCCACUAUUUUGCCCAGGCUCAUCUAUAACUUCUGAGCUCAAGACAUCCUCCUGCUUUGACCUUCCAAAGUGCUGGGAUAGGGGUUUUGUGCAAAUAUCUGCUGAGUGAACUACUUAUUUGAAAAUACAUCAUUGGUUAAUAUUCCCUUUUGCUCAUUGAAAUCUCAAAGACUACAGACAAACUACAAUAAAGCCAUGCCCUGACUGGAUGUGCCUAACAUUUGUCUGGUGCUUAAAGGAGUUGGCUGCAUGCGUGGAAAUGUUGGAAAGUCACCAAAAAUAGUUCUCCAAGUCAGAAGCGGUGCAAAAGCUGCCUCAGCUCUUGGUGGAUUUUCAAUUUCUCCCAGCCAUCUCUGUUUCGCUAAAGGUUUCUGAAGACAGUGGAAUGCUGUUGAAGACACCACCUUGAUAAAACAAAAACAUCAGCCAAAUUAAAUUUAAAGGAGUUUAAUUGAGCAAAGAAUUAUUCAUGAAUCAAGCAGUCUUCCAAGCCAGAGUAGGCUCAAAUACUCCAGCACAGCCACGUGGUGGAAGAUUUAUGGACAAAAGAAGAAAAGUAACAUAUAGAAAAUGGAAAUGAGGGGAAGCUUUUUUCUCCUCCCCAUCCUGAUCACUAGUAUGAGAAGGGGUGCUAAUGGACCAGCCUUGGCCUUGCAGAUGAAGAUGAUGAAGGAAGAAGAUGUAUAAAGAACCUCUGAAAGAGUCCCAGUUUUACAUUUCAAAGUCUUUUUCCUUCUGUUGUUUAUUGUGUUGGGUUGGAGUGGAGGAUAUUUGAUGGAGAAUUGAUUCUGAAACUUGCCAAAAUAUGGAUAAUACUUUGCUCCUUUUCCAUUGUGGGUUAUCACAAAGAAGAGUUUCACUUUUAGUCAUCUAUUUACAGGUACGGCAAUAGCUAUUUUCUUUUUCUUUUUUUUAUUUUAGGUUUUAUUUUAGGUACAUGUGAAGGUUUCUUGUAUAGGUAAACUAGUGUCAUGUGGGAUUGUUGCACAGAUUAUUUUAUCAACCAGGUAUUAAGGAAGCUCAGUACCCAAUAGUUAUAUUUUCUGCUCCUCUCCCUCAUCCCACUCUCCACCCUGAGGUCGACCCCAGUGUCUGUUGUUUCCUUCUUUCUGUUAAUGAGUUCUCAUCAUUUAGCUCCCACUUAUAAGUGAGAACAUGUGCUAUGUGUUUUUCUGUUCCUGUGUUAGUUGGCUAAGGAUAAUGGCCUCCAGCUCCAUUUUUGUUUCCCUCUCCAGCAUCUGUUUUUUUUUUUAAUUUUUAGUAAUAUCCAUUCUGACUGGUAUGAGAUGGUAUCUCAUUGUGGUUCUGACUUGCAUUUCUGUAAUGGUCAAUGAUGUUCAGCUUUUCUUUUCAUGUGCUUGUUGCCCACAUGUAUGUUUUGUUUUGAAAAGUGUUUGUUCGUGUCCUUUAUCCACUUUUCAAUGGGGUUGUUUGCUUUUCUCUCGUAAAUUUGUUUAAUUUCCUUAUAGAUGUUAUGACCUAGCAGCUGUACCUUUUUUAAUUUCAAGACAUUCAAUAAACUAAGAACCAACAGCACAGUUGAUGUGUCUUUCCAUGACACCUGCCAUCUUUCCUCUCUUCAUAGCUAUAAGAAUAUUUUGGAAGAAGAGUUGCUGAUAAAUGCCACUUAGGGAAUCUCUGAGCAUCUGUUAUUAUAAAUGGUUGACUAAAAUUUAGGGUAAAGCAUCCUAUUAAAAAUGAAGUUAAGGACUUUAUGUAGAACUUUAAAAUUUGUCCCCCAAAUCCUGUUGUAUGUCAACAUAUUAUAAAAUAAAUUGUAAAUAUCAUAACUCAGCAAAAGAACAUCAUCUAAAACUCAUUAAGAAUUUAAUGUUGAGUAUAUCAGUGACACAAAAUCAUGAGGCAAGAUGGUUUAAAUAUGUUACAAAUAAUAAUAAAUAAUCAUACCCUCUGAGUUUAAAUUCUUUAUCACCCUGUAUGUACUGCCACUCAACACUUGACUUCAGGGCCAUAAUCCUUAGUGAACCCAUCUAACAUCCACCUAAAAUAAAGGUUUGGAGCCACUCUUCUAUGCUUAACAAAUAGCCUUAAGCAUCAUGAAUAAACAGAGACAGGCUAGCUCCUUUUUGCUCUAUAGCCUUAAGUAGUUCUGACCAUGACUAGAAAGACAUAGCUGCAAGCAGCCUGAUCUUUUUUUAACAUCUUGACUUUUUGCAAGGUAUUUCUAAAAUAUGUUACUAAUAUGUACUUCUUGGUUGUUUUACUAAUAUUUGAAAGAACUAAAGUUAUCAUUAGUCACGUUUCAUUUGAAACUACAGAAGCAAUAAAAACAACAAAGUUCCAAUAUAAAAUCCAUUAUUAAAUAGCUUUCAACAUAAUAGAUUAUUUACUACAAAAUAGCAA